AAGUGUGAUCAUACCAGCACUAAUGCAUCUGAUCCAAUUAGAACUCCACAGAUAAGCGUGCUUGGGCGAUAGUAUUAUUAGGAUGGGUGACUUCCUGGGAAGUCCUCGUGUUGCACCUC
rnacentral:rRNA from 2 species